UGUGUGUGUUGAGCUGCAGUCAAUGUGUCUGGGGUAACACACACUGGACUGUGUUUGUAAUUGUGCUAACACGCUGAGAGGAAGAGCUGCUCCGAACACCUCGUUCUCUGGAUAAAGAUGAGCGGCGGUCUGUCAGAGACACCUGCGGGGGGCCUGUCACCCAAAACUGUGCUGCACAGAGAGAUUUAGAAAUGGGAAACACCUGUGACCGAACGAGGCCGUGACCAAUGGAUUAAUAUGGAUUACUUCAAUAAAUCCUUCAAGAGUCAAUGUUUUGGUGUAAUGGACAUCUGAUGGAGAGCCAGAAGUGUCUUCAUCCGAGCGGAUCUCAAGGUUGUGUUGCAGGUCUGGGCUGUUGCAGGUUUGUUUCGGUGCAGUUACCUCACUGUCAAGCCAGAACACAUCAGGGUUUGUGGGAACUAGUCAAACAUCCCACGACAAAGCCCACAAACACAGACUGAACAUGUUCAGUGGCUGAAAACAAACAGCAUCAGGGUUGAAGUGUGAAGGAGGCUGGCGUGUUUUCCCCGUCGGGGUGAAGGUUAUUGAAAUAAAUACUCAGCUCUGUAUCUGAAUGCUGCAGUGUUUAAAGAUGGUGUCAAACAAAUGUCCUCCUCUCCAGAUGAGUUUAUCAAAGCCGUCUCGCUGGAGGACACUGUGAUUAAAAACACUGGUGUCCUCAGCAGGCCCACCCGCUUCAAAACCCAGCGCUGCCUUUUCACAUGAACGCCAAGAAGAGAGGUUUUCAUCUUCCCUCAGUGAUAUUUGAGGCUUAUUUUCUGUGUGGUAGCACAAUCUUGUGAAGUGUUUGUGAACGCCGCACAUCCAGUGAUGUAUUACGGCUCAGGCUUGUAGAACUCAGAUUACAGAUUCAAUUUCACAUGUUGGAUGAAAUAAAUAUUUAAAAACUUUUGUAAGUGGGUCGUUACUCACUAGCCAAGUUUCCAAAAUGAA